UUCUCUAUCUCCCCAAACGCGGCGCCCGCCGCCGCCUCCAACCCUGCCUGCCUCCCCAUCUAAUCUCCAUCACCAGUCGCCCAUCCAGCCCCGCAUCGCUAGCAAUUACCCGACGGUGCGUCGACCAUCCGCAUGCUCACGCGCCCCACGACGAACCCUAGCCAACGUUCCUUUUCUCGGGUGGCGCCAGACGGCAGCUGGGGUGAGGAUGAGAGCAAGAAGGGGGAGCAGCUUUUGGUGUGUGUGUAUGUGGUGGGCGUGGGGGUGGGGGAGCUGGAGUUUGAGAUGUGGUGGAAGGUUCAGGUUCAAUAGCAACACCCUUAAUUUUCUUCCUCCCAACUAUGAUUGCUGGCACCAAUCACACAAACAGCAAGAAUUUUUAUCUGUAUUCGCGACCUUGUUUCCCCUGAUUUUGGUGUAAAAGUCGUGCUUUGAGUCCUCUCCUCCAGUUGAUGCUUUCACAAUCAAUUUCUCUCUGCUAAUAUUUACUAAGUUCAAUAUUUUUCAGUAGUAGCAACUUAAACUACUGAGUGUACUGUGUGUUUGAGGUCUCGAAGAUAUGACAUGUGGUUGGAUUGCUUUUUCCCUUGCGAUGUGAGGGUCAUUUUCCGUACCAUUAAUAGUAUUACUUAGUAGCAUAGCGACUAAGUUUUCAGUAUCAUUAACAUUACUUUGUAACAUAGCCACUAAGUGUUGUUCAUCAGGAUGUCCAUGUCCUCAAAACAUUGGCGAUGCGAGAAAAAAAUCAUAUGCAAUAUUUUCAGGCCGCAAGAAUUUAAAUUUAUGCUGCAAUCUCAUUUUAUUUUUAUUUUCUCAUUGGCAAUAAGCUGCACGGACCACAUGUUAGAGAAAGUAAUAACCUUUUUAUUUUAAAAAGCUUAGUACCUUUGCGCCUCAAUAGUUUGGUUGUAGCUGGAUGACUGUAUUGUGAACAUGUGAAAAAAGCUUUUGCCACUACCUCAUGCCAACAGGCAGUCCAUAAUGGUUAUUGUUCAAAUAGUGGUGAGGUAUAUGUAUGUGUAUUUUUCACACGGUGAAGCCUAUAUUUUUUUCUAGCCUAAUCUAACUUAAAAGUUGGUUCUCUUUUCUGUAGUUGCAUUCAUACAUCAAACAUCCAUGUUGUCGUGGUUAGUAAAUACAGAACCAUUUUAAGUGGACCGUGUUUAUGCAAAACAGAUCUCGCAUGCUUGAGGUUAUAUAAUUUUUUCUCUUUACCAUUUGAUACUACGAAGUGAUCAAAUUGACAAUGACAAACCACUUUAAUAUAAUUGGCCGCUACACCUUCCUACGCAAUGUUAGCAUGCUCCGAUGCACUUUUUUAUACAUUCCCCUGCUAUAAUAUGCUACAUGUGCUAGCCAUUUUUCAACUAGUUGCACUAUUCAUGCCUACAAUAUAUUUGCACUACUUUUUUAUGUAACCCUUGAUGCAUACUUGAAAUCGAUCAACAUCGGCGAGGAAGGUCAGCUGCCCACUGCUGCUCCAUUUCCUUUUCUGAGCACUGCCGCCCUUGAGGAGAGGUCCAGCAGCAAUUGUUGCUGCUCCUGCCUUCCUUUGUCAUCAAAGGUCUGGUGCCGUCAUCUCACCGUAGCUCCCUCCCUACUAGAAUUAGAGCAAUGCCAUCGACCGGUGGUUGCUGCUUCCUCUUCCUUCCCAGCCAGUGUGUCGAGGGCAUGGAAUCUUCUUGAAGGACCAAUAUGCUGGGAAACUAAUAUUCAAACCCCCACAACAUCAAAGUCAUUCCUGCAGGCCUUGUCACAUAAUAAAGUGGCAAAGUAUAACUUGGUUUUAGUUUCGGCUGCAAAACGGAUUUAUGAUGUUCAAGCAUUGAUGGAGUCAUUUAUUAGGGAAAGUAGUUCACACUUAAGGGUAUGCACAACCAAACCCCAUUGGUACUUGUUCAGAAUACCGGGAAUACAAUACUGCUACUAACUUGCAUUGCAAUGUCUGUGCAACCUUGAAUAUCAAGAUGGUUGUUCAAUCGCCUGAGAGUGAUAUUGUAUAUGUUGUUGGAAUUGCUGGUUCCUCAAAGCUAAAUGUUUAUGGGUUCUUGCCUCCAUAAAACCAUUAGUAUCUAUAUGUCGUGGUGUUAGAGUUCUUGCCUCCAUGCAUUUUUUGUUCUGAUAUAUGCAGCAAAGAAGAGAUUAUGAAGACGCUUUCCUAGCUUUAGUUGGAAUGAACACAUUCUAUUUGCCUUGUUUGUUGUUUCGGUGCUAGAAUCAUCUUCUUGCCCCAGCAAAACAUGUGGUGGGAGUUGUUAUAGCAGGGUAUGCUACUCUACAGGGUAUUUGAUAAAAUAUUGCUUCUGCUUCUUUUCUAGAUUACACUAACAGAUUCAUACGUAUAUGAAAGUUAGAUUACCGCUUCAAAGAAAUUUUUUGCAACAAUACUAUGACUUAUAUUGAUGUAACAGAAUUUUUGAACUUGCUGGUUGAAGCACAGUUUCCACCUAUCUUAAUGUUGUUUAUAUUUUAUUUGUGUAUUCAUGCCAUCCGAUAUAGCAUGCAAAACCAUCGACUUUGUUGUUGUGGUUGCGUACUACCACUGCCAU